GCGCACAGAGCGAGCUCUUGCAGCCUCCCCGCCCCUCCUGCAACGCUCGACCCCAGGAUUCCCCCGGCUCGCCUGUCCGCCAUGGCCGACAAGGAAGCAGCCUUCGACGACGCAGUGGAAGAACGAGUGAUCAACGAGGAAUACAAAAUAUGGAAAAAGAACACCCCUUUUCUUUAUGAUUUGGUGAUGACCCAUGCUCUGGAGUGGCCCAGCCUAACUGCCCAGUGGCUUCCAGAUGUAACCAGGUGACAUGACUCUCCCGAACGUUAUUUUGAUGUAUUUUCAGUGUAGAUUUCUCAUUGAUUUUCUUUUUUCCGCUCUUCAGUCACCCGGAGAAGGCAUGUGAUCAAAACCUCUUGGUGACAUUUUUUCUAGGCCACAAAGUAAGGCAAAAUAACAAAAUGAUUUUGUAACUUACCUGACAAGAGAAAACAUAUUGGCGUUUUUUUCUCAAUACUGAAUUAAAUAGCUGUAGCUGAUGAUAAUACCUGUAAUAAUAGUGGCUGUACCAAAUAAUAGUACAAAACUUGUCAACUUUCAAAAAGUAUUAUGGCCAGGAGCAGUGGCUCACACUUGGAAUCUGAGCACUUUGGGAGGCCCAGGCAGGAGGCUUACUUGAGGCCAGGAGUUGGAGACCAGCCCUGGGAAUACCCCCGUCUCUACUGCCCCCCACACAAAAAAAGAAAAA
rnacentral:sRNA from 1 species